rnacentral:ncRNA from 1 species
CUGAAGGCCGCGUCCGGGUCAAUUGCGGACUGCAACACCCGAUCUCCCUGCUUGUGCCACCAACGAUGGAGGAUCCAAGUAAGGGAGAACGCGUCACCGUCAG